rnacentral:tRNA from 2 species
ACCCAGCUGGCUCAGUUAGUAGAGCAUGUGACUCUAGAUCACAGGGUUGUGGGUUUGAGCCCCACGUUGGGAA